rnacentral:rRNA from 1 species
GGAAACAGGUGCUAAUACCGUAUAACAAUCAAAACCGCAUGGUUUUGAUUUGAAAGGCGCUUUCGGGUGUCGCUGAUGGAUGGACCCGCGGUGCAUUAGCUAGUUGGUGAGGUAACGGCUCACCAAGGCCACGAUGCAUAGCCGACCUGAGAGGGUGAUCGGCCACAUUGGGACUGAGACACGGCCCAAACUCCUACGGGAGGCAGCAGUAGGGAAUCUUCGGCAAUGGACGAAAGUCUGACCGAGCAACGCCGCGUGAGUGAAGAAGGUUUUCGGAUCGUAAAACUCUGUUGUUAGAGAAGAACAAGGAUGAGAGUAACUGUUCAUCCCUUGACGGUAUCUAACCAGAAAGCCACGGCUAACUACGUGCCAGCAGCCGCGGUAAUACGUAGGUGGCAAGCGUUGUCCGGAUUUAUUGGGCGUAAAGCGAGCGCAGGCGGUUUCUUAAGUCUGAUGUGAAAGCCCCCGGCUCAACCGGGGAGGGUCAUUGGAAACUGGGAGACUUGAGUGCAGAAGAGGAGAGUGGAAUUCCAUGUGUAGCGGUGAAAUGCGUAGAUAUAUGGAGGAACACCAGUGGCGAAGGCGGCUCUCUGGUCUGUAACUGACGCUGAGGCUCGAAAGCGUGGGGAGCAAACAGGAUUAGAUACCCUGGUAGUCCACGCCGUAAACGAUGAGUGCUAAGUGUU